rnacentral:lncRNA from 1 species
UAUUAUGUUACUUUGAAAAUGUUUUUAAUUCUAUUUCUUUCCUUAAUUGUAUCAUGCCCGUUUUAAAUCAAAUCGCUUAAUCAAAGGGAGACAUUAUGUUACUUUGCAAACUAUUUUUUACCUUUUGUUACUUGGUUUCUGCACUAUAUAAGGGGACUACCCUUCUGCACUUAAAACAAUUCUCACGAUUACAUACACAUUUCGAAUUGCACUUCAAUACACAAAAAGACUUCAAAACUUUUACUCUCUCUACAUUACUACUGCUUUCUAAACUUCUAGCAUUGAACACCCUGCUCCUCUUCUCCUUUUACUGUCUGAAACCCUCUUGAGUUAUUUUUGAACUUUCAAGUAUUUGCUGAAGAAUUUGAGUUUGCUGUUUCUGACUUCCGGUUGUUUAUUUUGCUUUUGUUGUUCUGCUAUUCUAGUACUUGCGACUGGUAUGUUAUUCUUAGUUAAAUAAUGCCCCUUCACUAUGUGUUCAUUUGAUUUUUCUAGCAUGUUAUACUUUCUUGCACUAUGUAUCCACAUCCUAAUCUGUUAUGCUUCUUUCCUUGUGUUUCUGUAAAUGCUUUUCUUAUGUGAACCCAUUACCUUUUAUCCCUUUUGUAUGCGAGUACAGUUCUAGCCAUGACAGCACUUUGUUAUUACCGC